rnacentral:misc_RNA from 1 species
UACGCCCCAACAAAUAAACCAAUAGUUACAACAUCUAUUCAAAACUUAAGGGGGAGACUGUACAAUUCCACCUCAACCCACAUCAUUAUCCUGCCCUAUAACCAGCAAGACAGAAAAAAAAAACAAUGCUACAACACCCUUCUAAAGGUGCCUAUCGACAAAGUAAAGAACAAUUUAUCUUUGUCAUUGAUGGCUCAACUUGCGCUUCUUUUGUUUUCUCAGUCGCUCCCGCCUUUCUUCUUCUUCUAUCUUCCGGAGUUCUUCUUCAUCCUCUUCCCUUGCUAUUUUUGCACUCCGCCUUUCUUCCUUCAAAAUUUCAUCGAAAUUAGCCUCCAUAUCACUAACAUCAUCAUCGUCACGGUACCUAUUUGGAUUAUACCCAAACAUCUCCCUAAUCAUACUAAUGGCUUGUUCUCCAUCAUCUUCUUCAUCAUAUCUCGUUGGUUUUCUUGCUGGGCGUCUAUCAUCUUUUUGUUGAUGAACUGGGCGCCUCUCUUCUUUUCGCUGAAGUGCUGGGCGCCUGUCAUCUCUUUGCUGAAGUGCUGGGCGUCUGUCAUCCCUUUGCUGAAGUGGGCGCCUGUCAUCCCUUUGCUGAAGGGAUGGGCGCCUGUCAUCCCUUUGCUGAAGGGAUGGGCGCCUGUCAUCCCUUUGCUGAAGGGAUGGGCGCCUGUCAUCCCUUUGCUGAAGGGA